rnacentral:rRNA from 1 species
UCGGGAAUUUUGGGCAAUGGGGGAAACCCUGACCCAGCAACGCCGCGUGAAGGAUGAAGUAUUUCGGUAUGUAAACUUCGAAAGAAUGGGAAGAAUAAAUGACGGUACUAUUUAUAAGGUCCGGCUAACUACGUGCCAGCAGCCGCGGUAAUACGUAGGGACCAAGCGUUGUUCGGAUUUACUGGGCGUAAAGGGCGCGUAGGCGGCAUGACAAGUCACUUGUGAAAUCUCUGGGCUUAACCCAGAACGGCCAAGUGAUACUGUCGCGCUAGAGUGCAGAAGGGGCAAUCGGAAUUCUUGGUGUAGCGGUGAAAUGCGUAGAUAUCAAGAGGAACACCUGAGGUGAAGACGGGUUGCUGGGCUGACACUGACGCUGAGGCGCGAAAGCCAGGGGAGCAAACGGGAUUAGAUACCCCUGUAGUCCCUGAGCGGGCUGGCAAGGCG